GACGAACGCUGGCGGCGUGCUUAACACAUGCCAGUCGAACGAAGUGGCGAACGGGUGAGUAACGCGUAAUCAACCUGCCCUUCAGAGGGGGACAACAGUUGGAAACGACUGCUAAUACCGCAUACUGAAGGAGGGGAUUGCGUCUGCUUAGCUAGUUGGAGGGGUAACGGCCCACCAAGGCGAUGAUCAGUAGCCGGGCUGGGAGGAUGAACGGCCACAGUGGGACUGAGACACGGCCCAGACUACGACGGGAGGCAGCAGUUGGGAAUAUUCCGGAAUGGACGAAAGGCUGACGGAGCAACGCCGCGUGAGUGAUGACGGGCUUCGGGUUGUAAAGCUCUGUUAAUCGGGACGCGGUACCGGAAUAGAAAGCCACGGCUAACUACGUGCCAGCAGCCGCGGUAAUAC
rnacentral:rRNA from 1 species